rnacentral:ncRNA from 1 species
UACUGCGCGCCGCUUAAAGGUGCCAGACACAGGAAUGCGUCUGGUUAAACGGGAAACAGGUGCGGGAAUUUAAUUCCUCAGGCCUGUGCUGCCCCCGCAACGGUAAGCAGGUGUGGACGUAUUAAUAACCUGGGUGUUUCAAAAAUUCGCAUCAGCAAGCGCACAUGCUUGACGCGACAAUUAUGAAAUAACUUGAGUUAAGCCACUGUGAGCAAUCAUGGGAAGGUGAUGCGUCUCGUCCUGCAAGCCCGGAUACCGGCCUUGAGCACAGGAAUCUCA